AAUCAUGGCUGGAAUUGAACUCAAGAGCUCAGGAUGUACAUCACUGAUUCAUAACAUCACCGUUUACUCUCUCAAUCAGGAAUACCAGAAACACUGAGUCAGGAAAGCAAUCGGGUUUGUACAGCUGAAGGAAGUUAGAUUGGAAGUCUCACGGGGUUUUAAGACGGACGGGAUGAAGAGAGCAGGAAGAAUCGCGGACACACCUUUAUUAAAUACGAAUGGAUGAAGGAUUGGGCUCAUAGAUGUGGUUGAAUGGGCUGUGAUGGGUUGUUAUGGAGCAGGUGGUUCUCUUCUGAAGCCUACACCUCCCGUACACCCCUGGGACCCCGAACGCACGGCUGAUGUAACACCACAGGUGUAGACGGGUCUGGAGUCACCUGAGUGGAGACUUAAGGCUACAUUCAAGCUGCUUUUAUCUUCAGUCCGUUGUCAAAGGCAGGGGUCGUCGGGUGUCGGACCCUGAGGAAACAGUAUCCCGUGCUUCCCCUCGAGCACUUCCUGUGCGUGUCACUCAAGAGCCGGGCUCGUGUCUCUGAUCAAAGGCCACGAACAGGAGCAGACGACAGGGUGAUGCUGAAGGAUGUCCUGAACGGCUGGGUCAGGGCCAGAUGUCCAGCACAGUCUCACUUCAUCACAUUAAUCCAGCCUCGGAUCCAGACAUGUUUCACAUCCGUCCAACACAAACACCAUCCUUGGAAAUGACAUGACAAGUGUAGACUAAUGCAAUUGAAGUAUCCAAAUGAAUACCCUAGCAGUAUGGAGUAUAUGGAAACAGACGUUGCCAGCAAUCAGGAGGUGAUGCAGAAGACUCGUGGGAAUUGAAGCUGGAGUCACUGAAGACAGUCCAGCAGAAGUUGGAGUUUUAAAGGAUAAAGUUCUUCAGGACCUAGCAGUUUACAGUCUUCUCUUCAUGAGGUUGCAAUGCCUCCAUUAGUACAUCAACUGAGAGGGAGUAUAUUUCUUUCUUCCUCCCGCUGUGCAUGCAGUAACAUUACUCAUCCAUGUGACAUGCAUGUGUUGUGUCUGCUCAUCUGAACAGAUUGCCUGGGAAACACAUCAGUGUCUGUGCCGGCUGCUCUGUUCAGAGAUAACAGUGUGUCAUGAGAACAAUUGGGCUCCAGAUAGGACUGUGCAACUCGAUCCGUCUUUAAACGAAGCGAGACAAAGUCUCAGCAUUCGGUUUCCAUCACAUCAGCAUUCAAAUGCUUUUGCAACCCAGGAAGGUAUAAUGGUGGGUGUGUAAGGUUACGGUUACCAGGAAAUGCACUGUCAUGAUUGCAUCAGAAAUGGUUGAAGGGUUUGCCAUCUGCAUUUUGUGAAUGCAGAAGUGCUCAUGUACUAUACACUGUAAGGCCAACCAAACUAUUGCACACAUGCAUUACAAUAUCCUGCACCAUUGUAAUUUAGUUUUGAACAAGACUGUGAAUAAGUGUAUCUGACCUCUUGAACUUCAUACACUUCCUUUUUUUUCCUAUCCACAACUACAACAACAACAACAACAACAAAAACAUUGUGCAACAAGCUGAUAGUGAUAGUCUAUAUACAUGUGUAUACUUCGUCAUCACUCAGAAUCUGUUUUACAAACAUCUUUGACAAAAUAACCAAGGCAUUUCCACAAAAUCUUUAUUUAUUUGUAACCACUGGAGCUGGAAAGAUGAUUACGACUAAUAUUUAGUAGGUCGCAGCUGUCAGAAAUCAGUAGGAGUUGACUUCAGCACAUCUCUAGUGUCUCACACUGCGCUGCUGUGAUCUUGCUCCGCUCUUCUUCAGGUCUCUUCUAGAGUUCGGUGACACUAUAUAUGUGUGUGUAUUAAAAAUUCAAAAUACAAAACAGUACAGUAUAAUUGAAGGUAUAAAAAAUAGCUAACUCCCAUAAAUACUAAGUAAUUGUAUACUCAUCUUUGUCAUGCAUUCUUUUCUGACACUUUUCAGAUUUUCUAAGCAAGAUGUAUUUAGUGAAAACAUGUUUUGUGUGUCACAUGUUCAGUGUCGCCGAAGGCUUGUUUGACCAGCAACAUUUGGAACAAAAGGGUCUGCUUGCUGAACCUGAAGAACAGCUACAGCUCGUGUGUGUGUGUGUGUGUGUGUGUGUGUGACGUAUGCAAACAUGUCAUUCUGUCAUGAGUCACAGCUGUCACCUGAUUGUUACGGCCAUCUGAUGAAGCACUAGAGCAGGUGUUCAUGGGAGGUUUGGGCGGUGUGGGUGUGUGGUUCUCAGCUUUCCGAGAAAAAAAGGUUGGGUGAUUUCUGUGUCAUCUAGGGUAAUGAAAGACCUCAUGCAUUUAGGAUUAUUUAGUCCAGUUUCUCACCGCAAACAAUGCACAAUUAAUCUUACCCACUUUACAGACUUUCAUGCAUAAACUUUUGAAUUACUGUACUGUUGAGCAGUAACUAAGAAAGAAACAAGAAGGAAAAAAAUAUAUUAAAUACAAUGAGAUGUCUGAAGAUAAUGGUGAUGUUUGCCCAUGCAAA